rnacentral:rRNA from 1 species
UUUCACGGAAGUUUUCGGAUGGAAGUGGUUACACUUAGUGGCGGACGGGUGAGUAACACGUGAGCAACCUGCCUUUCAGAGGGGGAUAACAGUUGGAAACGACUGCUAAUACCGCAUAACAUUACCGGGUCACAUGGCCUAGUAAUCAAAGGAGCAAUCCGCUGAAAGAUGGGCUCGCGUCCGAUUAGCCAGUUGGCGGGGUAAUGGCCCACCAAAGCGACGAUCGGUAGCCGGACUGAGAGGUUGAACGGCCACAUUGGGACUGAGACACGGCCCAGACUCCUACGGGAGGCAGCAGUGGGGGAUAUUGCACAAUGGGCGAAAGCCUGAUGCAGCGACGCCGCGUGAGGGAAGACGGUCUUCGGAUUGUAAACCUCUGUCUUAGGGGAAGAAAAUGACGGUACCCUAAGAGGAAGCUCCGGCUAACUACGUGCCAGCAGCCGCGGUAAUACGUAGGGAGCGAGCGUUGUCCGGAAUUACUGGGUGUAAAGGGAGCGUAGGCGGGAUGCCAAGUAGAAUGUUAAAUCCAUCGGCUCAACUGGUGGCAGCGUUCUAAACUGGCGUUCUUGAGUGAGGUAGAGGCAGGCGGAAUUCCUAGUGUA